rnacentral:snRNA from 1 species
ACACAUUACAUGGUGCAGGGGAAAUACCAUGUCAUAAAAGUGAUUUUCCCAGGGGGAGGCUCAUCUAUUGCACUUCAGGUAUGCUGCUAAACCCUAUGAUUUCCCCAAAUGUGGGGAACUCAACUGCAUAAUUUGUGUUAAUGGGGGAUUCCCCUU